rnacentral:rRNA from 1 species
UACGGGGGGAGCAAGCGUUGUUCGGAUUUACUGGGCGUAAAGGGCGCGUAGGCGGCCACCGCAAGUCGACUGUGAAAUCUCCGGGCUUAACCCGGAAAGGUCAGCCGAUACUGCGGGGCUAGAGUGCAGAAGGGGCAACUGGAAUUCUCGGUGUAGCGGUGAAAUGCGUAGAUAUCGAGAGGAACACCUGCGGCGAAGGCGGGUUGCUGGGCUGACACUGACGCUGAUGCGCGAAAAGCUAGGGGAGCGAACGGG